rnacentral:rRNA from 1 species
GGAUUAGAUACCCUGGUAGUCCACGCCGUAAACGAUCAUCACUCGUCAUUAGCGAUACACGGUUAGUGACCAAGCGAAAGCAUUAAGUGAUGCACCUGGGGAGUACGUCGGCAACGAUGAAACUCAAAGGAAUUGACGGGGGCCCGCACAAGCGGUGGAGCAUGUGGUUUAAUUCGAUGAUACGCGAGGAACCUUACCUGGGCUCAAACGCAUGAUGACAGGGUGGGAAACCACUUUUUCUUCGGACAUUAUGCGAGGUGCUGCAUGGUUGUCGUCAGCUCGUGCCG